GUUCUAUAAUAGCAUUAAAACAGCUGCAAUAAAGAGUGCUGAACUUCAACAAAUCAACAUGUUUAUAGCUAUAUAUGCUGUUCUCUUCUCUUCAGCCAUAGAAGCUGUUCUGGGAGUGAAACUGGAGCAAAAAGAUCUCUCCCUGACAAAAGGGAAGGGCAAAACUAUACACAUCAGCUGCAAAGUGACCGAGCGGAGCUCAGCUUAUGUCCACUGGUACCAAAAGAAAGACGGUGAAGAAGCUCUGAAAAGGAUCCUGUAUGUGGAAAAAGGAAAGUCACCUGUUCUUGAUAAUACCCAUCCUGAAUCAGGGGACUUUAAAGUGAGGAUACAGUCUGAUAACUAUGAUCUGAAGAUAGAAAUACUGAAGGAAAUUCACUCAGGGGUUUAUUACUGCGCCAGCUGGGAAAAGCAAAAACAUCUCAUCAUGACAAAAGAGGAGGGUAAAGGUGUGUAUAUCAACUGCAAAGUGACCGGAUUAUCCAGCAGCAAUUAUGUCUACUGGUACCGAAGGAAAGACAGUGAAGGUGACAAACACUGA